rnacentral:rRNA from 1 species
UACAGAGGGGGCAAGCGUUGUUCGGAAUUACUGGGCGUAAAGGGCGCGUAGGUGGCCUUCUAAGUUGAACGUGAAAUCCCUGGGCUCAACCCAGGAACUGCGUCCAAGACUGGGAGGCUUGAAUCCGGGAGAGGGAUGCGGAAUUCCAGGUGUAGCGGUGAGAUGCGUAGAUAUGCGGAGGAACACCGAUGGCGAAGGCAAUCCCCUGGGCCUGCACUGACGCUCAUGCACGAAAGCGUGGGGAGCAAACAGG